UACGUAGGGUGCAAGCGUUGUCCGGAAUUAUUGGGCGUAAAGAGCUCGUAGGUGGCCUGUCGCGUCGGCUGUGAAAACCUGCAGCUUAACUGUGGGCUUGCGGUCGAUACGGGCAUCACUGGAGUUCGGCAGGGGAGACUGGAAUUCCUGGUGUAGCGGUGAAAUGCGUAGAGAUCGGCAGGAACACCCAGGGGGAAACCAGUCGACUGGGCAUCUACUGACGCUGAGGUGCGAGAGCGUGGGGAGCGAACCGG
rnacentral:rRNA from 1 species